GAAUUAACUAUUUACAGUGAUGCGCAUCAAAAACAAUUUUACAACCCUAUUUACAAAUUAUUUACAACACUUUAGAUCACAUUCCGCACGGCCGAACCCCAUGGCGGGAUUUAUUGCCGGCGGGCAAACUGUCAUUCGUUGACAGUUGGCAAAACGUCAUGAAUCUGUCAAAGUGAACUGUCACAGCAUAUCUAUUGUUUAUUAUGUUUAUGUUUAUUCUGUGCUGUGCAGUUGAAAGUGGAAAUAGAAGAUUUCAUUGAGAAAAGGCCUUAUAUUCAACGAAACGUUUCGGUGAAUGAGCUCGAUUGGUGUGACAGUGGCGGGCUGUUUUGCGAUGCGGCGGCAAUCUUUUCACGAAAGAUUGGCCCAUUGCAACCCCCAAAUUUUGCCGGGAUUACCAUAAUAGCCAUCUUGGCACAGCAAGAUGCAUCAGAUUGGCCAAUCUACGCAGUGGGCGAUCCCCUCUCGGCAACUCCGCAGGUGAGGAAAAUGAGGGUAUUUCUUCACCCCUCACAUCUUCCGCCGGUCCUGCUAGUCCCGAUAUUGAUCCCCGAGUUUAUUUAAGAUCAACCCUCAGCGAUGUUUGCCGUCGGUAACCGGGGAUAAUUUAUUACUCCCGCGCCUUACCAGAGCUGUGGCAAACUGCCGAAAAAAUUGGAUUAUAAAACGAAAGAAAAAUAUACGAUUGAACAUGAA